rnacentral:rRNA from 1 species
GACGUAGGGCGCGAGCGUUGUCCGGAUUUAUUGGGCGUAAAGAGCUCGUAGGCGGCUCGUUGCGUCGGCUGUGAAAACCCGCAGCUCAACUGUGGGCUUGCAGCCGAUACGGGCGGGCUAGGAUUCGGUAGGGGAGACUGGAAUUCCUGGUGUAGCGGUGAAAUGCGCAGAUAUCAGGAGGAACACCGGUGGCGAAGGCGGCAUCCUGGACCGGCAUUGACGCUGAGGAGCGAAAGCCAGGGGAGCGAACGGG